GCAUUCGUAGUGUAGUUGUCAGCACGCUCUUGACGUGUAACGGAGAAGUCCGUGGUUCGAUUCCCGGCGAAGGCG
rnacentral:tRNA from 1 species